UGGGGAAUAUUGGACAAUGGGCGCAAGCCUGAUCCAGCGACGCCGCGUGAGUGACGAAGGCCUUAGGGUUGUAAAACUCUUUCGUCGGGGACGAUAAUGACGGUACCCGAAGAAGAAGCUCCGGCUAACUUCGUGCCAGCAGCCGCGGUAAUACGAAGGGAGCUAGCGUUGUUCGGAAUCACUGGGCGUAAAGCGCACGUAGGCGGAUAGUUAAGUCAGGGGUGAAAUCCUGGGGCUCAACCCCAGAACUGCCUUUGAUACUGGCUGUCUCGAGGUCGAGAGAGGUUGGUGGAAUUCCUAGUGUAGAGGUGAAAUUCGUAGAUAUUAGGAAGAACACCAGUGGCGAAGGCGGCCAACUGGCUCGAUACUGACGCUGAGGUGCGAAAGCGUGGGGAGCAAACAGGAUUAGAUACCCCAGUAGUCCCUGAGCGGGCUGGCAAGGCGCAU
rnacentral:rRNA from 1 species